GGCAGGCCCCGCCCAGCCUGAAUGGAAGGCAGGCGAAUCUCCACCUGUUUCACCGAACUGCCUCAGAUGCGGUCUCCUCAGCCCUUCACCUGAGACAGUGAUGGCCUGGCUCUGAUGAGAGGACAAUGAACUAUAGGAGGAGGUCCUCUGGCAGAGGGUGGAGCCCUUCGAGAGGCUACAGCAGGAAACAGAGAAUGAACUGAUGUUUUGUCACAAGGACAUUCCUCUCUGGGACACUGCAGACAUGGAAGGUCCCCGGGGUCUGGGUGCUGCGAUGUCUCCCCUUGCCGAGACUUCUUGCCUUGGUGUCAGGAGUGCUUUGCAGUGGAGACAGGCCAGGGUCUCAGGAAAGGAAAGACCCUGGUGCACAGAUGUCAGUGAGGUGGCAUGUGCAGGAGAUAUGCAAUUCCUUACCCCAAGCCUCCUUUCGAGAAUGACUGAACUAUUCCUCAGCUCCAGGGGAGUUUGCCGGUCCCUCCAGACAAAUAGAAUUCAUGGGAGACUAUCACAAUAUCCUGACUAAGAGACCCUGUUGAGGAACUACCCAUGUACUGCUGUUUUACUUUGCCCCCCUGGAGAUGGAGCCAGGGGUGCAACCAGCCAGAGAAGGCAUAGGCUGAAUUUAGGGAAGCUUCAGAACAAGAGAACAGGAAAAGUUACAUGAAGUAGAAAGAAUAGCAGCUGAAGUGGGGAAAUCAAAUAUCCCACCUGAGGAAAUGCCCUCCUCGAGAAGACUGGGACUUCCAUGGCAACUGUAUACUUCCAUCUUUAUCUGUAUGGCAAGACAGCCCUUGAUGCUAUGCAUCUAGUCUCCUUGGGAACCCCUCAUUAGCCCACAUCACUUCUCUUUUCAGAAACCCAGGUAUCUUUCAGGUAGCACUAUGGAAGUACCAAUACAGUUGUCUUGACUUCCAUAUUUUAGGGGUGACUCCCUUGUUUUUGCACAUUAAUACAUUUUAUGUUCCAACUGCUAAUUUAUUUUAGAGUAAAAUUGUUGAAUCUUCAGAGGGAAAGGAGAAAAGUGAAAAUUUCUCUAUAUUAACAUCUACCCAGCUCUUACUAUCUGCCAGGUUGUUAUAGUUUAAACCUGAAAUGACCUCCAUGACCUCAUGUUUCAAAUGCUUGUUCAAUAGCUGGUAGUACUCUUUUGGAAGGCUUUGGGAGGUGAGGUCUAACUGGUAGAAGUAGAUCACUGGGGAUAGGUCUUUCAAAGUAAUAACUAGCCUAUGGUUCCUGCUUCAUUGUCUUCUUCCUGGUCUGUUGUGAUGUGAAUAGCCUCUGUUACCAGAUCCCUCACUGUGAUAUAACCUGUUAUGCUGUGUCUUUCCCCACCACCAUGAGCCUAAUAAAUCUUUUCCUCUUAA